rnacentral:rRNA from 1 species
UUCCCCUUCGGGGGACAAAGUGACAGGUGGUGCAUGGUUGUCGUCAGCUCGUGUCGUGAGAUGUUGGGUUAAGUCCCGCAACGAGCGCAACCCUUAAGCUUAGUUGCCAUCAUUAAGUUGGGCACUCUAAGUUGACUGCCGGUGACAAACCGGAGGAAGGUGGGGAUGACGUCAAAUCAUCAUGCCCCUUAUGAUUUGGGCUACACACGUGCUACAAUGGACAAUACAAAGGGCAGCGAAACCGCGAGGUCAAGCAAAUCCCAUAAAGUUGUUCUCAGUUCGGAUUGUAGUCUGCAACUCGACUACAUGAAGCUGGAAUCGCUAGUAAUCGUAGAUCAGCAUGCUACGGUGAAUACGUUCCCGGGUCUUGUACACACCGCCCGUCACACCACGAGAGUUUGUAACACCCGAAGCCGGUGGAGUA